UUGGCGGAGGCCCAGGUCGAGUCCACCCUGACUGCCUGUUUUUAGCAACGGAGAACCGCGUGAGCAGCUUGUUAUUUUUAUUUAUGCUGAAGUUGUUACACGGAGGAUUUUUUUUCUUUUUCCCCUUUAAUUGCACGAGGGAAGCGCUGCGUCGCCUUCUCGGUAGAUGUAUGCUCCUGGGUGUGUCGCAGGCUGCUUACGUGUCAUUGGUAUUCUGCUCUGGCUUUUUUCUAAUGCCAUGAAAGUCACCCAAGUAAAUAAUAGAGCCCCCGUGUUCAUUAGAGAAAGUUCCCGUCCAUCAGCGAAGAGAGGCCUGGUGGUAAUGGAUCAGCGACUGUGGUACUGUAAACCUCCUCUUUCACAUCGCCGUGAAAAGCCACUCAAACAAAAAAGGACACGCUCAAGGACGACGACGUGAAAUGGAUUUAAAAAAAAAAAAAAAGAACUUACUGUGUUUGGACUCGCCUCUGGCCCCUCUCGAGCCUCUGUCACACCUCUUGAACCACCGCUGAACAACUGCAGAGGCCUCCUCUUCUUCAUCUUACAGUGAUGUUUGUACGGGAGAGCUUGCAGGUUCCGAUAAGAUAAGAUAGAACACACUUUAUUGAACCAUGUGGGGUAAUUUGUCCUCCGUAUUUGACCCAUCCUUAGUUACUUAGGAGCAGUAGGCAGCCACAGUGCAGUGCCCGGGGACCAACUCCAGUUCUGAGGCCAGUGCCUUGGGUCAAGGGCAAAGGCAGGAGAAUACCUAACCUGUCAUGCAAUGAUGGGAGGAGCCAAGUAUCUCUCACUUGAAGACAUCUGGAGGCCUGUGAAUGCCUGGCUCGUGCAGCAUUAAACUUAAGAACUUAAGAGCUUUAUACCGGUCUAGACUAGGCAGCUUGCUUCCUUUCGCUGUGGAGAAUGACAUCACAGUCAAAGUCUCCUCCCACAGUGUUCCGAGUUCCAAAGUUCCAAUGGGAGGUGGGAUGAAAGGAAAUUUGAACAAUUGUUGGUUUGCUGGUUCCGUUUAAAUUGUGUUCAUCACAUCUCUGAAAUUUCACUGCCUUUAUGAACAUUUUAAAAGCUACCUCCACCCCCCAGGAAAAAUAAAUAAGUAAGAAAAAUAAAUAAAAUACCCCAAGGCUGUUCAGUGACAGGGAGUACGAGCCUCAGUAACGCUUUAUUGGUCUGGUUAUAAAUACUUUAAUAGGUUUUAAUAACUGCAGUAUACAUUUUUAAAUAAAUUGUUGAUUUGUAGUCUAAUGGUGCUGUGCUGACAUACACACAACACAGCAACAAUGCAUUUUAUUUACAUUUAGCUGUACUUAUGACUUAUGAAUUUAUAAUGCAGAGAUUGAUGAAUGCUUGGGCAAAAUGUCACAGAUGUUUUUUUAAUGAUGAAUAAUGUAGUUGUUAAUGCUUUAUUAAGCUUAAACAGCUGGACCAUAUCGACGCCAUUACCAGAGCCACCGAACCGCUUCUCAGCGUAGCCUUACGGCUUUGCUACUACUACCACACCACCUUAGAACUACGGCUCGGAUGUGU